GCUGGCGGCACGCCUAACACAUGCAAGUCGAACGAAGUAGCAAUACUUAGUGGCAGACGGGUGAGUAACAUGUAGGUAUCUGCCCUUUGGCCUGGAAUAACACGAGGAAACUUGUGCUAAUACCGGAUAAGUCUUUACGGAGAAAGCUUUAUGCACCAUUGGAUGAGCCUGCACUUGAUUAGUUUGUUGGUGGGGUAAUGGCCUACCAAGACUGUGAUCAAUAGCUGAUUUGAGAGGAUGAUCAGCCACAUUGGGACUGAGACACGGCCCAAACUCCUACGGGAGGCAGCAGUGGGGAAUCUUGCACAAUGGAGGAAACUCUGAUGCAGCGAUGCCGCGUGAGUGAAGAAGGCCCUUGGGUUGUAAAGCUCUUUCGUCGGGGAAGAAAAUGACUGUACCCGAAUAAGAAGGUCCGGCUAACUUCGUGCCAGCAGCCGCGGUAAUACGAAGGGACCUAGCGUAGUUCGGAAUUACUGGGCUUAAAGAGUUCGUAGGUGGUUGAAAAAGUUGGUGGUGAAAUCCCAGGGCUUAACUCUGGAACUGCCAUCAAAACUUUUCAGCUAGAGUAUGAUAGAGGAAAGCAGAAUUUCUAGUGUAGAGGUGAAAUUCGUAGAUAUUAGAAAGAAUACCAAUUGCGAAGGCAGCUUUCUGGAUCAUUACUGACACUGAGGAACGAAAGCAUGGGUAGCGAAGAGGAUUAGAUACCCUCGUAGUCCAUGCCGUAAACGAUGUGUGUUAGACGUUGGAAAUUUAUUUUCAGUGUCGCAGCGAAAGCAAUAAACACACCGCC
rnacentral:rRNA from 1 species